rnacentral:rRNA from 1 species
GCCGGCACGCCCGGCCUCCCCACCCGGCCACCCUUGUCUAUCUGUACCUGUUGCUUCGGCGGGCCCGCAGUGAUGCCGCCGGGGGGCUCGCCCCCUGGCCCGCGCCCGCCGAAGACACCGAACUUCUAGUUAAGAUUAGCGUCUGAGCGUUUAACUAAAAUCGUUAAAACUUUCAACAACGGAUCUCUUGGUUCCGACAUCGAUGAAGAACGCAGCGAAAUGCGAUAAGUAAUGUGAAUUGCAGAAUUCCGUGAAUCAUCGAAUCUUUGAACGCACAUUGCGCCCUCUGGUAUUCCGGGGGGCAUGCCUGUCCGAGCGUCAUUGCAACCCUCAAGCGCGGCUUGUGUGUUGGGCCUUCGUCCCCCGUGGACGUGCCCGAAAUGCAGUGGCGGCGUCGUGUUCCGGUGCCCGAGCGUAUGGGGCUUUGUCACCCGCUCAUGGAGGCCCGGCCGGCCCCGGCCAACCCCCAAUCGAGGACUCGUUCCUCAACCAAGGUUGACCUCGGAUCAGGUAGGGAUACCCGCUGAACUUAAGCAUAUCAAUAAGCGGAGGA